UGAAUGGAAGAAAACAAUUACUUUGGUGUUUUGCAGCUCUGUUUCGUUCCCUGACGGUAACCAAAUCUAGAUGUAGGAAUCUGUUGAGCAGGAGAGUGACACAUGUCUUCCCGAAGGCUGUCCAGGCUGCAGUGGUGAUGAAAAAGACACAUCAUCACCCCGAGAUCGAUCGUAGCGAAUUGGAAAACUCAUGGUGAAUUUGCUUCCACUCCAAGGCAAUGUCGAGGUAUGAAGGGUGCUUGUACUGCCUUCCAAAGUGAAGAGGAGAUGAACAUGGCUUUGCAUAGCUGAUGUUCUAUGCCAACUUACCUACUCUUGCUGGUACCGUAGUGGCAUAUUGCAAAUUUCGUGGACGAACAACUCUAGUCACUAGUGGCUAGUGAGCAACACUGUACUAACAGAGCCUUGACGUUGCUGGAUGAGCGACAAUAUAAAUUACAUAAACAUGUAGCUCGUGAUGUGGGAUGACUGCCGUAUCGCAUUGCCAACGCAAACCCAUCCUGUGUCAGUGCAGCCAUCCAGCAACUUGAACUCCCCGGACCAGAUGCCGCUGCAGCUGAACACCAUGCCGAUGGAAAGCCAGGAGUUGAUAGCGAAGCAUUCUGGUCUGCACAGUACAAGGCAAAGAACAAUUAUGAAUUAUAAUGCAUUGUAAUCUUUCCCACACUUCUUUGUAAAAACAAACAAACAGUGCCAUUAUCACAAAACUUGAUCAAGCAUCUUGAUGGAGGUAUUUUCCAUUGUGCUGGCUCAGCAUCUGCACCAGGAAGACCAUGUACACUUACACGUA